rnacentral:misc_RNA from 1 species
GAUGAAGAACGUAGUGAAAUGCGAUAAGUAGUGUGAAUUGCAGAAUUCAGUGAAUCAUCGAAUAUUUGAACGCACAUUGCGCCCCUUGGUAUCCCGAGGGGCAUGCCUGUUCGAGCGUCAUUUCACCACUCAAGCCUGGCUUGGUGUUGGGCGACGUCCCCUUUGGGGACGCGCCUCGAAACGCUCGGCGGCGUGGCACCGGCUUUAAGCGUAGCAGAAUCUUUCGCUUUGGAAGUCGGGGCCCCGUCUGCCGGAAGACCUACUCGCAAGGUUGACCUCGGAUCAGGCAGGGAUACCCGCUGAACUUAAGCAUAUCAAUAAGCGGAGGA